rnacentral:misc_RNA from 1 species
UCUCCGUUGGUGAACCAGCGGAGGGAUCAUUACUGAGUUUACAACUCCCAAACCCUUUGUGAACUACAACUCUGUUGCUUCGGGGGCGACCCCGCCGUUUCGGCGGUGGCGCUCCCGGUGGCCAAUUAUUAAACUCUGCAUCUCUUGCGUCGGAGUCUUAAAGAAAUUUAAACAAAACUUUCAACAACGGAUCUCUUGGUUCUGGCAUCGUGAAGAACGCAGC